rnacentral:rRNA from 1 species
GAUGAACGCUGGUGGCGUGCCUAAUACAUGCAAGUCGAGCGAACGGACGAGAAGCUUGCUUCUCUGAUGUUAGCGGCGGACGGGUGAGUAACACGUGGAUAACCUACCUAUAAGACUGGGAUAACUUCGGGAAACCGGAGCUAAUACCGGAUGAUAUUUUGAACCGCAUGGUUCAAAAGUGAAAGACGGUCUUGCUGUCACUUAUAGAUGGAUCCGCGCUGCAUUAGCUAGUUGGUAAGGUAACGGCUUACCAAGGCAACGAUGCAUAGCCGACCUGAGAGGGUGAUCGGCCACACUGGAACUGAGACACGGUCCAGACUCCUACGGGAGGCAGCAGUAGGGAAUCUUCCGCAAUGGGCGAAAGCCUGACGGAGCAACGCCGCGUGAGUGAUGAAGGUCUUCGGAUCGUAAAACUCUGUUAUUAGGGAAGAACAUAUGUGUAAGUAACUGUGCACGUCUUGACGGUACCUAAUCAGAAAGCCACGGCUAACUACGUG